UGGGGAAUUUUGCACAAUGGAGGAAACUCUGAUGCAGCGACGCCGCGUGAGUGAUGAAGAUCUUCGGAUUGUAAAACUCUAUCCUUAGUGAAGAUAAUGACAGUAACUAAGAAGCAAGCCCUGGCUAAAUACGUGCCAGCAGCCGCGGUAAUACGUAUGGGGCAAGCGUUGUCCGGAAUUAUUGGGCGUAAAGGGUACGUAGGCGGUUUAAUAAGUCCUAAUUAAAAGGCUAUGGCUCAACCAUAGUAUGGUUAGGAAACUGUUGAACUUGAGUAGAUGAGGGGAAAGUGGAAUUCCAUGUGUAGCGGUGAAAUGCGUAGAUAUAUGGAGGAACACCAAUGGCGAAGGCAACUUUCUGGAAUCAAACUGACGCUGAGGUACGAAGGCGUGGGGAGCAAACAGG
rnacentral:rRNA from 1 species